rnacentral:lncRNA from 10 species
ACUCUUAUUGUUUAUCUUAAUUACCAUCACAUUCCUCAAGCACCAGGCAUAGAUCCCCGCAGGUGCGUGCAUGAAAAGUCAAACCUAUAAGAUGGCCUGAAAAUUUCUCCUGCCUAGCCAAAGAACUACCUCUCUUUAUGGCAAGCUGACUGAAGAAGGGCCUCUUCCUUUUGCUGUUGCUGCUUACCACAAGUGUUAGCUACAUGCAGGGAAUCAAAGAAUGAGAACUUUGUGCUACAAUAUCAGCUCUUCUGGAGGUUUGUGCGUCUUCCCAAUUAUAUCAUUGUCACGACUUUCUCAAAUCAGGCGAGAAAUGCUUGUCCACUCUCUGGUCUUUCUUUCAUCCCUAGAAUGAGAUUGUGCAUCCUCCACCAGAAACUCUCCCGAAGGCUG